CAAAAUCAACAUUUGUUGAAAAAACAAAUUGGAGGGAGUAAUAUAAUAAAUAAAUUUUGUGGUAAUUUGCUAAUUUCUGCAUUAUUAAAACAAAAAUUAGUACAAAAUCCAAACAAAGAUAAUGCCUGAUGAAAUAAAUCCCUAUCGCUUUCCAGCAAUAUAAACAAUUUAUGAUUAGCGCCGCCGUCAUCCGCCACCAAUGCCAUCAUCCGUUACGGCGGCUGAUCCGCUAACCAACAACACUGUUCCGAUACACAAAAUCUCAGUUAACGACGACGAUAAGUUCGAAGAAGAAAAUAGUGAAGGAUUAUAUGAUGGAGAUCAUAAAAGAGAUGGAACCCACAUUCUGGAGCCUACGGGUCUUGAAGAGCAUUUAAGAUCAGGAAUUUCUACUCCAAAAUCUCUUGCAAAUCCUGACACCCCUAUGAUCGAAGAGGGUAAUGACAGUUGCAGAAUAUCUAAUUCUGAUGAAAGAAGAGGAAAGAAUUAUUCAAGUUUGGAUGGAAAAAGAACCAUUGUUCUUUCUGAUCUCCAAGCUCUUAGGUGUGAUAGUGCGGAAGCAAUAACCUAUGAAAUCCAGCCGUUUGGUCAAAAAGUAAGUGCUGAAUUCACUGAAGGACGUCAUCAAGAAGUGUCGCAGGAUUUACCACAAACAUCAUCAAGGUUGGAUGUUCGGGAGACUUGGGCAAGAAGUUUGACGCCGCCUGCUGAUUCUAGUGGUGGAAACAAAAGACCAGCAGAUAGAUAUGAGCUUUAUUCUAGAGGUUGGUGCAUCAAUGGGAGCUCAUUUGGGUUCCUGCAUGCAAGGGACCCUGUAAUUAGCCAUAAUAAGGAUGGUGUUUUAGAUGCUUCAAAGAUGAAAAACAAACUCAUAAAUGGUGGAAGUAAUAUCAGACCAGUGUAUUGGAAUUGGUUGACCUUAACUUUAGUAUUGCACAUCCUUUUUCUGGUUCCUGACAAAGUAACUUCUAAUGUUAUAGGUUCAAAAGAUACCACCGAGAAACCAGCACGAGAUUGUUUCUCUGAUUUGGCAUCAUCUGAAGUUCGAUAUGGAGAAAAUCAAAGGUUGAAUAGUGACAAUGAUUUGCAUAUGCAUAAAGAUGAGGAUUUGUCAAACAUGCCGUUUAGAGACAUUCGAAGAGAGACUCUUGGAUGUAAAUCAUACUAUGCUGGUUAUGGCAGCUCUUCACCACCACAAGUCAGAGAUGAUUCUCUUAGUAAAGAUAGCUAUUGUAGUGGAAUGCUUCCUAGUAGCUCAGUACUUUUAUCUUACAAGUAUCAGAACGAAGUUACCUCUUAUGCCUCAGCUUUGGAUGACACAAGUUAUAAAAGGACCAACCUUACGCUUGACAAACAUCAUUUGCCAUUGUUGAAUUGCUCUGUGGAUAGGUGGCCUUCUUGUCUUACUUCUUCCUCUUCAAACCUAGACCCCAUUGGUGAUCAGAAGGUUUUAGACCGUAGCCGAGAAUACUGUUAUUCUAGGUCAAUGUCUCUGCAUAACAAGUCUUCAGCACUUCCUGCUUGUGGAACUGAAUCUUUUCCUUGGACUGAUUUAUCUGGGGACACGGAACACUCAUGUGGUUAUAAGACCAAAGUGUAUUUUAAUGACUGGGAGACUUCUGUCCCUUUUCGGCCAUCAACCUUUCUUAGUCAAAUUAUACCCACUCCAGCAAGUCUUUAUGAUCCGAUUCGUGACAGCAUUGAGCAAACCAGCACACCCGAGAAAGAUUUGUCUGGUAAUGAAAGAAAGGCAGCUGAUAGAACUAUAGCCCCUCAAGAAAACAUGAAUACAUCUUCAAAAGAAGAAAAACACACGAGAUCAGUUAAUCCCAGAGGCCAAAAGAGGAAACAAUCAAAAUUAGAGAAGCUUGGACCCAGCUGUGAAAUUAAUACAGACUUAAGGAGAGAUGGAUCUGUGAACUAUGAGUCGGGAUUUAUGAAGCAUUUCCGUGCUGCUCUUGUGGAAUUUGUCAAAGAAUUGCUUAAGCCAACUUGGCAUGAAGGUCUUUUGAUGAAGGAUGCAUAUAAGAUGAUUGUUAAGAAAGCAGUAGAUAAGAUCAUUAACUCUUUGACACCUGAUCAAAUUCCUGAUACGACUGAAUCUAUCAAUCAGUACAUCUCUGUAUCUAAGCCAAAAGUAGCUAAGCUCAUUGAGGGGUAUGUGGAGAAAUAUGAAGAAUGGAAUCUCCAUCUAGAUGCUUGGAUUGGAUAGAUUUCCCUAGAAGCAUGUAUUUCAGGAAGCAGUAGAUCCUAAUGCCGCAAUAUGCUCGCAGGAGCAAUUGAGACUUAUGGGGCAGCAUAUUUUGAAGGGAUUGCUGGAGAUGGACAGAGUAACUUAGCUACAUAAGAAGUUUCUCGUUUGGAGUCCAGUACCUGUUUUGGGGCUCGUGGCCGGUAUUAAAUGUUAAAUCGGAAAGUUCCACUUUGGGGAUAAAACCUCCUUGUCAAAGCUGAUUUCUUUUCUAUUUGAAAUCUUUAAUCAAGGAUGGUGAGUACUUGUUAGCUUGAUAGAUAUGAGAAAGGUUUUAAUUUCUUCACAGUACUACUUCAAUUGACUUUGAUUUUACUAAUGAUUAAAUCGUGAAGUUUGGAUUCAAGACGAA